CCUACGGGAGGCAGCAGUGAGGAAUAUUGGUCAAUGGACGCAAGUCUGAACCAGCCAUGCCGCGUGCAGGAAGACGGCUCUAUGAGUUGUAAACUGCUUUUGUACGAGGGUAAACUCAGAUACGCGUAUCUUUCUGAAAGUAUCGUACGAAUAAGGAUCGGCUAACUCCGUGCCAGCAGCCGCGGUAAUACGGAGGAUUCAAGCGUUAUCCGGUUUUGUUGGGUUUAAAGGGUGCGUAGGCGGUCGGAUAAGUUAGAUGUGAAAUCCCGAGGCUCAACUUCGGAAUUGCCUCUGAUACUGUUCGGCUAGAGAGUAGGUGCGGUAGGCGGAAUGUAUGGUGUAGCGGUGAAAUGCUUAGAGAUCAUACAGAACACCGAUUGCGAAGGCAGCUUACCAAGCUACAUCUGACGUUGAGGCACGAAAGCGUGGGGAGCAAACAGGAUUAGAUACCCCAGUAGUC
rnacentral:rRNA from 1 species